rnacentral:rRNA from 1 species
AGAGUUUGAUCCUGGCUCAGAACGAACGUUGGCGGCGCGCCUAACACAUGCAAGUCGCACGAGAAAGGGAGCAAUCCCCGGUAAAGUGGCGCACGGGUGAGUAACACGUGGAUAAUCUUCCCUCGAGCGGGGGAUAACCUUCCGAAAGGAGGGCUAAUACCGCAUAAGACCACGGCCAGUACGCUGGCUGAGGUCAAAGCUGGCCUCUUCAUGAAAGCUAGCACUCGAGGAUGAGUCCGCGGCCCAUCAGGUAGUUGGCGGGGUAAUGGCCCACCAAGCCGAAGACGGGUAGCUGGUCUGAGAGGAUGAUCAGCCACACUGGAACUGAAACACGGUCCAGACUCCUACGGGAGGCAGCAGUGGGGAAUCUUGCGCAAUGGGCGAAAGCCUGACGCAGCGACGCCGCGUGGGUGAUGAAGGCCUUCGGGUUGUAAAGCCCUGUGGGGAGGGACGAAUAACACAUACCUAAUACGUAUGUAGAUGACGGUACCUCCUUAGCAAGCACCGGCUAACUCUGUGCCAGCAGCCGCGGUGAGACAGAGGGUGCAAACGUUGUUCGGAAUUACUGGGCGUAAAGCGCGUGUAGGCGGCUUGGAUAGUCGGGUGUGAAAGCCCGGGGCUCAACCCCGGAAGUGCAUUCGAUACUGCCAAGCUGGAGUCCCGGAGAGGAUGGUGGAACUCUCGGUGUAGAGGUGAAAUUCGUAGAUAUCGAGAAGAACAUCGGUGGCGAAGGCGGCCAUCUGGACGGUGACUGACGCUGAGACGCGAAAGCGUGGGGAGCAAACAGGAUUAGAUACCCUGGUAGUCCACGCCGUAAACGAUGGGUGCUAGGUGUCACGGGUAUUGACCCCUGUGGUGCCGUAGCCAACGCAUUAAGCACCCCGCCUGGGAAGUACGGCCGCAAGGCUAAAACUCAAAGGAAUUGACGG